rnacentral:rRNA from 1 species
AGAGUUUGAUCCUGGCUCAGGACGAACGCUGGCGGCGUGCCUAACACAUGCAAGUCGAACGCGCUCCAUUCGGUAGCAAUACCGAUGAAGAGUGAGUGGCGAACGGGUGAGUAGCACGUGAGCAACCUACCCCGAAGACUGGGACAACACCGGGAAACCGGUGCUAAUACCGGAUAUCCCUAUCGGAUCGCAUGGUCUGAUAAGGAAAUGGAUUCCGCUUCGGGAGGGGCUCGCGGCCUAUCAGCUAGUUGGUGAGGUAAUAGCUCACCAAGGCAUCGACGGGUAGCUGGUCUGAGAGGACGAUCAGCCACACUGGGACUGAGACACGGCCCAGACUCCUACGGGAGGCAGCAGUGGGGAAUCUUGCGCAAUGGGCGAAAGCCUGACGCAGCAACGCCGCGUGGAGGACGAAGGCUUUCUGAGUUGUAAACUCCUUUCAGCAGGGACGAUUGUGACGGUACCUGCAGAAGAAGCAC